AAAGGCGUAAUGAAAGUGAAGGUCCGCCUGGCGCGGACCGAGGGAGGAUGGGCGGACCCGAGGGGCCGCCUCGCACUCCCGGGGCGUCUCGUUCUCAUCGCGAGAAGAGGCGCACCCAGAGCGUACACGCUGGGACCCGAAAGAUGGUGAACUAUGCCUGGUCAGGACGAAGUCAGGGGAAACCCUGAUGGAGGUCCGUAGCGAUUCUGACGUGCAAAUCGAUCGUCGGAACUGGGUAUAGGGGCGAAAGACUAAUCGAACCAUCUAGUAGCUGGUUCCCUCCGAAGUUUCCCUCAGGAUAGCUGGCGCUCGCUUCUUGCGAGUCUCAUUCGGUAAAGCGAAUGAUUAGAGGCAUUGGGGUCGAAACGGCCUCAACCUAUUCUCAAACUUUAAAUGGGUGAGAUCUCCGGCUUGCUUGAACUGUGAAGCCGCGAGAUAUCGGAUCAGAGUGCCAAGUGGGCCACUUUUGGUAAGCAGAACUGGCGCUGUGGGAUGAACCAAACGCCGAGUUAAAGCGCCUAAAUCGACGCUUAUGGGA
rnacentral:rRNA from 1 species